GGCUGAUUCAUGCUAGACCGUGUCGGGUCCGGGCCGGGACCCGGACGGGACACGGUAAAAUAAUUAUAUGAGCAAUUUCAAUUGACGCAUCCACACUACACCGAUUGGGACACGUGCCGUGCCCGUGUUUUCAGAGUGGCGAUCCAUUGCAACGGCCCGGAGUCGGUCCCGGCCCGGCUCCGACACGGUCUAGCAUGAAUCAGCCUUAACUCAUGAUAUUAAUAC